UACGUAGGGGGCAAGCGUUGUCCGGAUUUAUUGGGCGUAAAGAGCGUGUAGGCGGCUUGACAGGUCUGCUGUGAAAACUCGAGGCUCAACCUCGAGAUGUCGGCGGAAACCAUCUGGCUAGAGUCCGGAAGAGGAGAGUGGAAUUCCUGGUGUAGCGGUGAAAUGCGCAGAUAUCAGGAAGAACACCCGUGGCGAAGGCGGCCCUCUGGGACGGUACUGACGCUGAGACGCGAAAGCGUGGGGAGCGAACAGG
rnacentral:rRNA from 1 species